GUCAUCGAUGGGGAUGCGUUCCAUUAGCUUGUUGGCGGGGUAACGGCCCACCAAGGCAUCGAUGGAUAGGGGUUCUGAGAGGAAGGUCCCCCACAUUGGAACUGAGACACGGUCCAAACUCCUACGGGAGGCAGCAGUGAGGAAUAUUGGUCAAUGGGCGCUAGCCUGAACCAGCCAAGUAGCGUGAAGGAUGACUGCCCUAUGGGUUGUAAACUUCUUUUAUAUGGGAAUAAAGUGCAGUAUGUAUACUGCUUUGCAUGUACCUUAUGAAUAAGGAUCGGCUAACUCCGUGCCAGCAGCCGCGGUAAUACGGAGGAUCCGAGCGUUAUCCGGAUUUAUUGGGUUUAAAGGGAGCGUAGGCGGGUUGUUAAGUCAGUUGUGAAAGUUUGCGGCUCAACCGUAAAAUUGCAGUUGAUACUGGCAUCCUUGAGUACAGUAGAGGUAGGCGGAAUUCGUGGUGUAGCGGUGAAAUGCUUAGAUAUCACGAAGAACUCCGAUUGCGAAGGCAGCCUGCUGGACUGUAACUGACGCUGAUGCUCGAAAGUGUGGGUAUCAAACAGGAUUAGAUACCCUGGUAGUCCACACAGUAAACGAUGAAUACUCGCUGUUUGCGAUAUACAGUAA
rnacentral:rRNA from 1 species